UACGGGGGGGGUAAGCGUUGUUCGGAAUUACUGGGCGUAAAGGGCGCGUAGGCGGCCUUCUAAGUCAGACGUGAAACCCCCCGGCUUAACCUGGGAACUGCGUCUGAUACUGGGAGGCUUGAGUAUGGGAGAGGGAUGUAGAAUUCCAGGUGUAGCGGUGAAAUGCGUAGAUAUCUGGAGGAAUACCGGUGGCGAAGGCGGCAUCCUGGACCAUUACUGACGCUGAGGCGCGAAAGCUAGGGGAGCAAACGGG
rnacentral:rRNA from 1 species